rnacentral:lncRNA from 1 species
GCCCAUGUAUUCAUUCCCUCAUCAGCUGUUUAGCGAGCGCCUACUCUGUGGAGAUGCUGUGCUUUACCCGGAAAAUACUCAGCGACGGAGCAAGAGCCAGAAACUGGAGCCAGGACACUCAGUACUGGUUCUGCUGGUGACGACCCCAAACACAAAAGCUCUAUUCACCACACCAUGGGAAGGUGACUGCUCCCUUCCAGCAGGAACAGCUUGAAGUGCCCCAGGCUUUGCACGGGGAAUCCUGACUCCUCAGUUCAGAGCAGGACCUGACUCAGUUCAGAGAAGGACGUCAGAGACACCAAUGACCCAGAGGGCAGGCGGGAAGGGACAUUCCACCCACCCACCUUUCUCACGAGCUUCUCUCUCAAUGCUACGCUGAUCUCUAUCUGCU